rnacentral:rRNA from 1 species
UACGUAGGUGGCAAGCGUUUUCCGGAUUUACUGGGUGUAAAGGGCGUGUAGGCGGGAAAUUAAGUCAGGUGUGAAAGUCCAUGGCUCAACUGUGGGAGUGCAUCUGAAACUGAUUUUCUUGAGUACUGGUGAGGGAAGCGGAAUUCCAAGUGUAGCGGUGAAAUGCGUAGAGAUGUGGUGGAACACCAGUGGCGAAGGCGGCUUUCUGGACAGGAACUGACGCUGAGGCGCGAAAGCGUGGGGAGCAAACAGG